CCAAUAGCGUAUAUUAAAGUUGUUGCAGUUAAAAAGCUCGUAGUUGAAUUUCGGGGUUAGUAGGUUGGUCAUGCCUCUGGUAUGUACUGGUCUCACUGAUUCCUCCUUCCUGAUGAACCGUAAUGCCAUUAUUUGGUGUUGCGGGGAAUUUGGACUGUUACUUUGAAAAAAUUAGAGUGUUUAAAGCAAGCUAACGCUUGAAUACAUUAGCAUGGAAUAAUGAAAUAGGACGUUCGAUCCUAUUUUGUUGGUUUCUAGGAUUGACGUAAUGAUUAAUAGGGAUAGUUAGGGGCAUUAGUAUUGAAUUGUCAGAGGUGAGAUUCUUGGAUUUAUUGAAGACUAACUACUGCGAAAGCAUUUGCCAAGGAUGUUUUCAUUAAUCAAGAACGAAAGUUAGGGGAUCGAAGACGAUCAGAUACCGUCGUAGUCUUAACCAUAAACUAUGCCGACUAGGGAUCGGAUGAUGUUAAUUUUUUAAUGACUCGUUUGGCACCUUACG
rnacentral:rRNA from 1 species